rnacentral:rRNA from 1 species
GGGCCCGCACAAGCGGUGGAGUAUGUGGUUUAAUUCGAUGCAACGCGAAGAACCUUACCUGGGUUUGACAUCCCGCGAAACCUCCCGAAAAGGAGGCCUGCCCUUCGGGGAACGCGGUGACAGGUGCUGCAUGGCUGUCGUCAGCUCGUGCCGUGAGGUGUUGGGUUAAGUCCCGCAACGAGCGCAACCCUUGUCUUUAGUUGCCAGCGAGUAAUGUCGGGCACUCUAGAGAGACCGCCUCGGUCAACGGGGAGGAAGGUGGGGACGACGUCAAGUCAUCAUGGCCCUUACGCCCAGGGCUACACACGUACUACAAUGGUGGGUACAAUGGGCUGCGAGACCGCAAGGUGGAGCCAAUCCCAAAAAACCCAUCCCAGUCCGGAUCGGGGUCUGCAACUCGACCCCGUGAAGUCGGAAUCGCUAGUAAUCGGAGAUCAGCAUGCUCCGGUGAAUACGUUCCCGGGCCUUGUACACACCGCCCGUCACACCACGAAAGUCGGUUCUACCCGAAACCGCCAGGCUAACCGCAAGG